AGUGGUGAAUCCCAGAGCUUAACUCUGGAACUGCCAUUAAAACUUUUCAGCUAGAGUAUGAUAGAGGAAAGCAGAAUUUCUAGUGUAGAGGUGAAAUUCGUAGAUAUUAGAAAGAAUACCAAUUGCGAAGGCAGCUUUCUGGAUCAUUACUGACACUGAGGAACGAAAGCAUGGGUAGCGAAGAGGAUUAGAUACCCUCGUAGUCCAUGCCGUAAACGAUGUGUGUUAGACGUUGGAAAUUUAUUUUCAGUGUCGCAGCGAAAGCGAUAAACACACCGCCUGGGGAGUACGACCGCAAGGUUAAAACUCAAAUGAAUUGACGGGGACCCGCACAAGUAGUGGAGCAUGUGGUUUAAUUCGAAGAUACGCGCAGAACCUUACCAACACUUGACAUGUUCGUCGCGACUCUAAGAGAUUAGAGUUUUCGGUUCGGCCGGACGAAACACAGGUGCUGCAUGGCUGUCGUCAGCUCGUGUCGUGAGAUGUUGGGUUAAGUCCCGCAACGAGCGCAACCCUCACUUUUAGUUGCCAUCAUUAAGUUGGGCACUCUGAAAGAACUGCCAGUGAUAAGCUGGAGGAAGGUGGGGAUGACGUCAAGUCCUCAUGGCCCUUACGUGUUGGGCUACACACGUGCUACAAUGGUAUCUACAACAGGAAGCAAGACUGCGAGGUCAAGCAAAUCCUUAAAAGAUACCUCAGUUCGGAUUGCACUCUGCAACUCGAGUGCAUGAAGCUGGAAUUACUAGUAAUCGUGGAUCAGCGUGCCACGGUGAAUGCGUUCCCGGGUCUUGUACACACCGCCCGUCACACCAUGGGAGUUGGUUCUACCUUAAGGCAAGGUUUAAAACCCUUGACCACGGUAUAGUCAGCGACUGGGGUGAAGUCGUAACAAGGUAGCCGUAGGGGAACCUGCGGCUG
rnacentral:rRNA from 1 species